rnacentral:rRNA from 1 species
AACGAACGCUGGCGGCAUGCCUAACACAUGCAAGUCGAACGAGACCUUCGGGCUUUGUUGCGCACGGCUGCGUAACGCGUGGGAACUUGCCCUUGGGUUCCGUAUAACUCCCCGAAAGGGGUGCUAAUACCGGAUAAUGUCUUCGCACCAAAGAUUUCUCGCCAUUGGAUGGGCGCUCGUUGGAUUCGCUAGUUGGUAGGGUAAUAGCCUACCAUGGCGACGAUGCAUAGCUGGUCUGAGAGGAUGAUUCGCCACACUGGGGCUGAGACACGGCCCAGACUCCGACGGAAGGGAGGAGAGGGGAACAUUGGGCGAGGGGCGAAAGUCUGAUCCAGCAAUGCCGCGUGAGAGAUGAAGGCCUUAGGGUUGUAAAGCUCUUUUACCCGAGAUGAUAAUGACGGUACCGGGUGAAUAAGCACCGGCUAACUACGUG